AGAAUGGGGGGAGGGGGAUUGUUUGAGAUUAACACCUCAAACCAGAAGCCCAUCACUGACACUUGCUCCUUCCUCUGAACUCAAGGACUAUAUUUGAAUCUUUAUCACCUCC